AACGAACGCUGGCGGCGUGCUUAACACAUGCAAGUCGAACGCGAAAGGGGCUUCGGUCCCGAGUAGAGUGGCGCACGGGUGAGUAACGCGUAAGUAAUCUACCCCCGCAUUCGGAAUAACUCGUCGAAAGGUGAGCUAAUACCGGAUACGUUUAUCUUGAUGCGAAUGAUGAUAAAGAAAGGUGGCCUCUUCAUGAAAGCUACUGUGCAGGGAUGAGCUUGCGUACCAUUAGCUAGUUGGUAGGGUAAUGGCCUACCAAGGCGACGAUGGUUAGCGCGUCUGAGAGGAUGAUCCGCCACACUGUAACUGGAACACGGACCAGACUCCUACGGGAGGCAGCAGUGAGGAAUAUUGCGCAAUGGGGGCAACCCUGACGCAGCGACGCCGCGUGGAUGAUGAAGGCCCUUGGGUCGUAAAAUCCUGUCAGAUGGAAAGAAAUGUAUGGGUGUUAAUAUCGCCUGUAUUUGACGGUACCAUCAAAGGAAGCACCGGCUAACUCCGUGCCAGCAGCCGCGGUAAGAC
rnacentral:rRNA from 1 species